rnacentral:rRNA from 1 species
UACGUAGGGGGCGAGCGUUGUCCGGAGUUACUGGGCGUAAAGCGCACGCAGGCGGUCUGUUAAGUUUGGAGUGACAGUUGGUGGCUUAACUGCCAAAGUGCUUCGAAAACUGACAGACUUGAGGGCUUCAGAGGGACACGGAAUUCCGGGUGGAGUGGUGAAAUGCGUAGAGAUCCGGAGGAACACCAAAGGCGAAGGCAGUGUCCUGGGGAGUAGCCUG